rnacentral:rRNA from 1 species
CAGUCGCCGCGGGAAUACGUAGGUGGCAAGCGUUGUCCGGAAUUAUUGGGCGUAAAGCGUGCGCAGGCGGUUUUGUAAGACAGGCGUGAAAUCCCCGGGCUCAACCUGGGAAUGGCGCUUGUGACUGCAAAGCUAGAGUGCGGCAGAGGGGGAUGGAAUUCCGCGUGUAGCAGUGAAAUGCGUAGAUAUGCGGAGGAACACCGAUGGCGAAGGCAAUCCCCUGGGCCUGCACUGACGCUCAUGCACGAAAGCGUGGGGAGCAAACAGGAUUAGAUACCCGCGUAGUCCCUGUCUCUUAUAC